UCAUAGCAGGAAAGUGAGGACAGAAGGAUGAACUGUAGUUUGCUCCUGCAAGUUCGAAAUGAAGUCCAUGUUGGCAGACUCACAUGAAAGAUAUGAUCACUACUGGUGUUACAUUGGAUGUGAUCAGCAGAAAAUACUGCUGCACUGAUACAGCAUUCAAGUAGAGCAAUGUACCAAGCUAGCAUUUGGUCCAAAGGUCUGCAGGCUACCCAGUCAGUGCCUUCUCCUGAAAAAUAUGGAUGGACCAAAUUAGAUGAUUUUUGGACACCUUUAUGGGCACUUUUACCAGAGGCAGCCAAAGUAUGUAGAGAACCUCUUAAAUGUGGCAGCAAAGAUGUUCAGCAUGCCUGAUGGAUGUCAUCAUUAGCCUACUUCCCUGAACAGCUCCUCAGCAAACAGCAGUUGCUCUACAGGUGUCGUCUGACUGACAGGACUGGAGCAGCCAGGCUGGAGUGCAUAAGUGACUGGAUUUCUCUGUCAUGCAGCUGACUGUGUAGGCCUAUGUGUUGGUGUAUGAAGUUCUGGAGUAUUUGUCAAGCAAUAGGUGCAUUAAAGGGCAGAAUAAUCCCUGCACCAUUGCAUGGCGGGCUGGAUAGUCCACCCCAGCUUCCCAAAACAUUGAUCAAUUUGAAACACUGGAUUAUUGCCUUUGCACUUCAUAAUACCUGGAUUUUUAUUAUUGAUAUUCACUGAAGGAUGUAAACUGGCAAGGAUAUGGGUUUAUACGUCCAUGAGGCAAUAGAUGCACUAGAGGGCAGAAUAAUCCCUGCACCAUUACAGGGGGGCUGGGUAGUCCACCCCAACUACCAAAAAUAUUGACACCUGGAUUGUUGGUUGUUUAGACGCAUUGAGUGAGGUCCAUGUUCAAGCAAAAGGUUAAGUGGAUAUUGUAUUUCCUAUGGCUGUAUAUUUGAGGCAGUGAGUGCAUUUCUGCACAAAGCUGGCCUUGAGGAAACUAUGGACAGAAAUUCAGGUACAAGACUAGAGGUUUGGGACUGCACCAUGAGAGUGUUAAGAUUUUCACGAGAACUGACCAUCCAUUGAAGUAUGUAACCUUGGACCAGCCUGAGAACUUUUCUUCCCCGAGAUGAUCUUCCUGGUCGUCCAGAAUCCCUCUACUGUGAAUCUCCAUGAUGCUGUGGAUAGGAGUCCGUAGACCAUCAUAUUUCUUGACAGCUGGAUUUUAGGUUUGUAUUGAGGGAGGUCCAUGUUCAAGCAUAAGUGAAGCAUGGGGAAGCAUCCUCUGGCUGUGUAUUUGAGGCAGUGAAUGCACUUCAGGGCAGAAUAAUUCCUACACCACUGUAGGAGAGUUGGGUAGUCCACCUCAGCUCCCCAAAAGACAGAAACCCUCUCAGAGACCCAACAUGAAUGUGUUGGCCUUUUAACACUGCUGGCCUUGAGGAAACAAUGGACAGAUAUUCAACUACUUCAACUACAAGAGGCCGGGGACUUCAUCCCAAAAGCAGCAAAAUGUCAGGAGAACUCCCCUUCUGUUGGACCAUCCUAAAAAGUUUUACUCCCCAUGUGAAUCUUCCUCAUUGUCCAGAAUUCCUCUUCUGAAAAUUUCCAUGCUGCUGUGGAUAGGGGCCGGUAGACCAUCACUGUGAGUGUCAUCAGCUUCGGUCAGGAGCUACUGGAGCACAUCCAUCACUGGCUGCAGAAGGGUUAUCAACACAGCUUCGUGGAUGCAGGCGCCUUUCACAUAUGGGAGUACAAAAUUGCAGUGGCUGGAUUUAUUGAGCCACAGAUGCAUUCUGGGGCAGAAUAAUCCCCACACUUUGGCAUGGGGGGCUGGGUAGUCCACCCCAACUCCUCCAAACCAUUACACUUGAAAUGCUGGAUUAUUUAUUUGUACUUUUUGAUACCUGGAUUUACUGUUAUUACACUGAGGGAUACCAAUGUUCAAGGAUAAAGGACAUGGUAUAAUCCUGUGUUUGUGUUCCGCGCACGUGGCGUGUGAUGAGAAUUGUGUCAUCAACGCGGCAUGCACAAGGUGUCAUGUACCUCCCAACAAUUGUGACCGUGCAUCAAUGAUGUAUGUCUUUGACACACGCAAAUGUGCAUGGAGGAGUAUACCACUUCCUUAAGGAUCUACAGUAGACAAUUAUGUCUGAAAAGCAUUGUGUGUGCAGGGCAGAAUAAUCCCUGCACCAUUGCAGGGGGGGUGGGUAGUCCACCCCAGCUCCUCAAAUACAUUUAAAGCACUGGAUUACUCUUUCAACUCCUUGACAGAUUUUUGGUUGUUUACACAUACUGAGGGAGAUCCAUUUGGAAGCAUAAUAUUAUAUUUCCUAUGGCUGCAUUAUUUCAUUUUUGAGGCAUGCAGUGCACUUUAGGGCAAAAUGAUCCCUGCACCACAAUCUAUACCUCUAAAACACUGGAUUAAUUUUGUUUGUGACAACAUCUGGAUUUUUGGCAUUUACUGAUAUUCUCUGAGGACAUAAACGGGCAAGGAUGAGAAGGUAUGGUCUUGUGCUAGAAUCUGAAAUGCAAUGUGUGCACUACAGGGCAGAAUAACCCCUGCACUAUUGCAGGGGGGCUGGGUAGUCCACCCCAGCUCCCCAAAACAUAUUUUAAGUACUGGAUUACUCUUUCAGCGGCUUGACACCUGGAGUUUUGGGUGUUUACAUGUACUGUAGGGGGGUUGGGUAGUCCACCCCAGCUCUCCAAAGGACAUAAUCACAUCAUGAAAGUUUUGGCCUUCCAAACCUGCUGGCCUAUAGGAAGCUAUGGACAGAGAUUCAGCUUCAAGAGGGCUGGGACAUGGACUGCAUCGGAGGAACAGUAAGAUCGUCAGCAGAACAGGCCAUCCGUCAAUAAUUGGAACCUUGGAAGAUCCUGAGUUUUACUCCCCGAGUGGAUCUUUUUCGUCAUCCAGGAUUUCUAUACUUAGAAUCUCCAUGCUGCUGUGGAUAGGGGCUGUAGACCAUCAUUGUGAGCACCAUCUGCUUCAGGGAGGAGCUACUGGUGCACAUUCAGCACUGGCUGCAGAAGGGGUUUCACCACAGCUUCAUGGAUGCAGGAUGUGCAUAUGCUUUUGCACAUGGGAGUACAACAUUGCAGUGGCUGGAUAAAUUGAGCCUAAGGUGCAUUCUGGGGCAGAAUAAUCCCCGCACCUUGGCAGGGGGGCUGGGUAGUCCUCCCCAGCUACUCCAAACCAUUACACCUGAAAUGCUGGAUUCUUUUGCACUUUUUGAUACCUGGGUUUAUGGUCAUUACAAUGAGGGAAACAAAUGUUACAAAGAUAAGGAUCUAUGUAGUUGAGUCUGAAAAGCAAUGUGUGCACUACAGUGCAGAAUAAUCCCUGCACCAUUGCAGGGGGGCUGGGUAGUCCACCCCAGUUCCCUAAACAGUGAUACAGUACAUCUGAAACACAGGAUUACUGUUUCAGCUUUAGUUCUGUACAUGUACUGAGGAGGGAGAUCAAUGUUCAAGCAUUAUGUGGAUAUUAUGUUUCCUAUGGCUGUAUUUAUUUGUGAGGCAGUGAGUGCACGUCAGGGCAGAAUAAUCCCUGCACCACUGUAGGAGAGUUGGGCAGUCCACCCCAGCUCUUCAAAUCUAUAGAUUCUUCUAAAAUAUUUUUUUUAUAGAAUAAUCCCUACACCAUUACAGGGGGCUGGGUUGUACUAAGGGAGAACCUUGUUCAAGCAUAAGUGGAUAGUAUAUUUCCUGUUGCUGUAUUUUUUUCCCGAGGCAGUCAGUGACCACAUUUUAGGGCAGCAUAAUCCCUGCACCACUGUAGAAGGGCUGGGUAGUCCACCCCUGCUCCCCAAAAGACAGAAACCUUUUCAGUUUUGCAACAUGGAAGUGAUGGCCUUCCAACACUGCUGGCCCAGAAGAAGCGAUGGACAGAGAUUCAACUGCUACAUACAGGCCUGAGACAUGCAUUACGGGAACAGUAAGGAACCAUUCAAAUAUGGGAGGACAACAUUGCAUUGCCAGGAUUUGUUGAGCCACAGGUGCAUUCUGGGACAAAAUAAUCUGGGGGCCAUCCACCACAGCACCUCAAAAUCAUGGAUACCCCUGACCCGGAUACCUCAUGUUCCAUGGCACCUGGAUUUGCACUUGUAGGACUGCUGGAGGUUAAUUAAUUAAUUGUUAGUCUUUUCCAGCAAUGUGUGCACUAAAGGGCAGAAUAAUCCCUGCACCAUUGCAGGGGAGUUGGGUAGUCCACCCCAGCUCCCCAAAACCAUAUAGGUACUUUUGAAGUCGUUUGCCAUUGAUGAUGUCUGGAUUUCAUGUUCACUAAAGGAUACAAAAGACCAAGAAUGGAGAUAUUUAAAUUUGUAGUUGAAUAUGCAAUGUGUGCACUACAGGGCAGAUUAUUUUUUCAGUUCCACCUGGAUUUCCAUUUGGAGCUCCAUUUGCAAGUGUAAGAGGAAGUUUGAUUUUCUCUUUGUAGGCAAUGUGUGCACUACAGGGCAGAAUAAUCCCUGCACCAUUGCAGGGGGGUUGGGUAGUCCACCCCAACUCCCCAUCCUUUCGUAAUUCCAAGGAUUAUUAUUAUUGAUAUAAAUAAAUUCACUUGUACCA